CCAUCCGUCCCGUCGUCCAGGUUCAUGGUCAGCGAUCAACGAUUAAGUUGACCAUAACCCAAACCGUGCCAAUGUCAGGCCAGAGGAGCACAGCAACCAUAUGUUCCAUGCACCUCCCCCAACUUUUGGUAAACAGGGCUGCUUAGAACCUUCAACAUAGAUCAUGCUUCCCACAGCAGCAGCCGCUCUGUUGCAACCCUUUCCCCUUUCCCCAAGCCCCAAGUCAAUCACCCAAAGCCCCCCCUAGCCUCCGCACCCCACCAAACCAAUCCACGCCCACUAUACUAGCGCACCGCAGGCUGCGACCCCCAGAUGCAAGAUCCCAAGAAAUCACGCACAGCUUUCCAUGCAAAGCGACGCUGCUCCAUCUCUCCAACACAACUACCAGGCAGGCGGCUGGCAGAGGUUAAGGCCUGACUUCUGCUCCCGGCGCGUCCGGGUUCAAAUCCGCCUGCCGACCUCUCGGGGUGUUUGAGAGGUGUUGAAAUGGGAGGUGGCCCCCCAUCUUGUGGACGGUGUAGGACGUGAUAAACUCAACUUGCGAGCUGACCAGGAACUAAGUUGACGCGCCGGUGAUCCGCUAGAUUUGGUUGGAUGCUGGUGGUGAGUUGCCAAACUCAAAGAGUACACUCUGAAGUCGGAUGGGGUGAAUGGAUUAGGGUACCCCUCUAGCAGGGGAGAGCAGGGAACUGCCUCGGGAAGGAGGCCACUGGUGAAGCUUAACCACCCUGUAACAACAUCAACUACCGGGAAAUUGACGCACACAGCCAGCCAGCCUGCCCGCCAGGCCCCAAGCCUGCGAUUCCCUCUCCACACACAUGCACACACAUACGAACGUACAUACACACACAUAGGAUUCCCUGCCGCAGCCCUCAAGCGGCCCCGGGCGGCUCCCCUCCCUCCGACCAGAACUGCUGAAGGAACUCCCGCUCCCCCAUCACCAGGAGGCCGCUGGCAGCCGCUUUACGCGUCUUGCGCUCCCCAGCCCCCGUACCGGCCAG
rnacentral:lncRNA from 1 species